rnacentral:rRNA from 1 species
GAUGAACGCUGGCGGCGUGCCUAAUACAUGCAAGUCGAGCGAAUGGAUUAAGAGCUUGCUCUUAUGAAGUUAGCGGCGGACGGGUGAGUAACACGUGGGUAACCUGCCCAUAAGACUGGGAUAACUCCGGGAAACCGGGGCUAAUACCGGAUAACAUUUUGAACAGCAUGGUUCGAAAUUGAAAGGCGGCUUCGGCUGUCACUUAUGGAUGGACCCGCGUCGCAUUAGCUAGUUGGUGAGGUAACGGCUCACCAAGGCAACGAUGCGUAGCCGACCUGAGAGGGUGAUCGGGCACACUGGGACUGCGACACGGCCCAGACUCCUACGGGAGGCAGCAGUAGGGGAUCUUCCGCAAUGGACGAAAUUCUGACGGAGCAACGCCGCGUGAGUGAUGAAGGCUUUCGGGUCGUAAAACUCUGUUGUUAGGGAAGAACAAGUGCUAGUUGAAUAAGCUGGCACCUUGACGGUACCUAACCAGAAAGCCACGGCUAACUACGUGCCAGCAGCCGCGGUAA